rnacentral:tRNA from 1 species
UAUUAAAGUGUCAGAAUAAUGUAUUAAAUUUAGGAUUUAAUUAUGGGAAGGUUCCCCUUUGAUAA